GAUGAACGCUGGCGGCGUGCCUAAUACAUGCAAGUCGAGCGAACGGACGAGAAGCUUGCUUCUCUGAUGUUAGCGGCGGACGGGUGAGUAACACGUGGAUAACCUACCUAUAAGACUGGGAUAACUUCGGGAAACCGGAGCUAAUACCGGAUAAUAUUUUGAACCGCAUGGUUCCAAAGUGAAAGACGGUCUUGCUGUCACUUAUAGAUGGAUCCGCGCUGCAUUAGCUAGUUGGUAAGGUAACGGCUUACCAAGGCAACGAUGCAUAGCCGACCUGAGAGGGUGAUCGGCCACACUGGGACUGAGACACGGUCCAGACUCCUACGGGAGGCAGCAGUAGGGAAUCUUCCGCAAUGGGCGAAAGCCUGACGGAGCAACGCCGCGUGAGUGAUGAAGGUCUUCGGAUCGUAAAACUCUGUUAUUAGGGAAGAACAUAUGUGUAAGUAACUGUGCACAUCUUGACGGUACCUAAUCAGAAAGCCACGGCUAACUACGUG
rnacentral:rRNA from 1 species